GUGAUAAGGUUUUGAACGACGGAGAUCAUUUUAUAGAGUCUAUAUUGAGAGUGUUCAUCGAUGGCAGUACUAUUUGUGUUGGUGUAAUAUUGUGAUGGUUUGACAAGUUUGUACAUGUGGGGUAGUCGCCUGUGGUGCUUGCAGUAUUGUACAAGUUGGAAUAUGAGGAAGUGAUCUUACCAUGGGAGCAUUUCUAGACAAGCCGAAAACUGACAAACAUAAUGAGCACGGCGUCGGGAAUGGCCUACGGUAUGGACUGGCCAGUAUGCAGGGAUGGCGUAUUGAAAUGGAAGAUGCACAUGCUGCUGUAGCAAAUUUACCUGGAGUGCUUAAGGAUUGGGCAUUCUUUGCAGUGUUUGAUGGCCAUGCUGGUGCCAAAAUAUCCGCCCAUUGUUCUGAGCACCUUUUGCACUCAAUCACAUCAGGAGAGGAAUUCCAGCCAUCAUCUAUAGCAGAGUUUGAGACAGAAAGUGAAGAAAAAACUAUAAGCAAAAUUAAGAAGGGGAUCCAUGCUGGGUUCCUGAGGUUAGACGAGUCCAUGCGACAAAUGCCUGAGGUUGCCAGUGGGGAAGAUAAGAGCGGUACCACAGCAGUAUGUGCUCUCAUAUCGCCUACACACAUCUUCGUUGCCAAUUGUGGAGACUCGCGUGCAGUCUUGCAUCGUGCGGAUAGCAUUGGCUUUAGCACUCAAGACCACAAACCUGUCAACCCUAUAGAGAAGGAGAGGAUUCAAAAUGCAGGAGGAUCCGUUAUGAUUCAGAGAGUAAAUGGAUCCCUUGCAGUCUCUCGAGCACUUGGAGAUUACGAGUACAAAAAUGUGGAGGGUAAAGGUCCAUGUGAGCAGCUGGUGUCUCCCGAGCCUGAAAUAUAUGUAGAACGUCGCCAGGAUAAUGAUGAGUUUUUAGUGCUGGCUUGUGAUGGCAUCUGGGAUGUUAUGACUAAUGAAGAUUUAUGCAGUUUUGUGCGGUCGCGCCUUCUACUCUCCGAUGAUCAUGAAGCUAUUUCUAAUCACGUUGUGGAUACUUGUCUUCAUAAGGGAAGUCGGGACAACAUGAGCCUUGUAUUGAUAACGUUCCCUGGGGCACCCAAGGUAUCUCAAGAGGCUUUAAAGAGAGAGAAGGAAUUGGAAGACUUCAUUGAGAAGAAAGUUAUUGAGGUGUGUGAGCAGGAGGGACCAGUCAGCAUGGCACAGAUAAUGCAAGUGCUUGCGGAAGAAGAUAUCCCAAAUCUUCCCCCAGGAGGAGGCCUAACUUCAAAACGAAACUUCGUGGAUCAGCUCUUCAGAAAGUUACGACCUGAUUGUGCAAAAUCUGAUUCUGGGCUUUGUCUGCUAAAAAGAACCCCCAGGAGGUUUCUGCUAUUCAAGUAACAUUGAACUGCCAAUCAGGGAUUUUGUGAGUAGCAAGUUUAAGAGGAAUCAAAGUGAAUAAUGUUUAAUUUGUCAUAAGCGCAGUCAAAAGUGUUCCACAAAUAUUUGUUGAAUGGUUUAUACUUUCAGUAGCACAUUUAAUUGUAACUUAAUAUGAUCAGGCUUUGUAUGAUGUCUGAUAUUUGGUUAGUUGUAACCUCAUAAAAACUUAAUGCAUUUAAAAACUUGGAAACUUGGUUAUCACAUUCCUGUAUUGGCUGCAACAAAGCAUAUUUCUUUGAUAAUGAUGCCUACAGUAAUGAUUGUUGCACCUAGGGUUGCGUUAAGUGAUACAACCCUCCAACCCAGCGAUAAAAACACAAACCCUCAAAGUGUUGAUGUGCUGAUGAUACAGUUUAUGCAAAUGUGCAGAAGCAUUCAACAGAAAUGUCAAGCUUGAGGAUUCUGCACCAGAGGUGAAACUUCAGUGAGGGUCAGAAUUGUUUUAAUUGUGCACCAUUAUCUGUAUAUUCUGCAGUGAUGACAAAGAGUAGCUCUGCAAACUCUUAAAUUCUUGUCAAAUAUUAAAAAUUUUAAUUACCAAUAAUUAAUGUCCAUGAUGAAUUAGAAUUUUAGACUAAUUUGAUAUUUGCUAAAGAUAUUUUUAAAGUUCCAUGUAGGAUGUUCUGGUUAAUAAUGAUCACUAUCAAGAGAGCAAUUAAACUAGAUCCUUAUUUGAAAAUUGUUGUUCAUAAGAAACCCCUGAUGUUUAACAGUGAACUACUGCUAAACAAAUUCUAUUCAAGGGAGAUAUUGGUGUAAUGUGAUCAUUCCUGAGGCUCCACCUAUGGUUCAUGAGCCCUUGACCUUGCCACAAUUAUUUUUGCAGUCAGAUGUGCUAGUUUCAUAUGUGAUAGUCCUAAUGCUUUCCCCUUCCAGACAAUUUUCAUUCUAGGGUCGCAAAGUGUGGAGCCUCACUGUUUGGUCAUACAUCUAUAUUAAUUGUAAAACAAAGUGUGUGUGUGCUUGAUUUUUAUAAGGUUAUCAGGUAAUUUGAACCUUAUUAAAGGUGGUAAUACAAGUAAAAUACCAUUGUUCAGCUUCACAACGGGACUCGGCACAUUGCGAUUCAAAGAUGAUGUAGGACUAUAUUCAGGAGAUGCACUCAAGUCAAUUGUUAUGUUGAUGCACUCACUUCUAUGUGAUGCUUACACCCCAAAUACAGUAGUAACUUAAACAUUUUCUUUCCCCUGUACUUAUUAAAUAUGUAGUAAUACUUUUAUCACUAAAAAUUAUUUCUAGUGUUCAGUGAGUGCCAGAAAAGUGGAAGAAUGACACCUGAUACAGUAGUAGUGUAGAACAAGAAUAAAUUGGGUGUGUUGAUUGACUAGGGUGUUUAUCGUGAGUACUGCCCGAACUGUGUCAUGAAGGAGUGUGUGAAAGAAUGUAAUGAUGUUAAUACAGUUAAUAGUAAAACUUAUUAUUAUUUUUUUUUUGACAUACACCUAUGUUUCACCAUUCUUUGAAGUGGUGUUUGUAGAUAAAGUGUCAGAUUGAUUAAUUUUAUGUAUUCAUAGUCUGUGACUGACUAUAUUUCAAAAAGCAUCUUAGUUUCAUGUGCCUGUUUUCACUGCCUACAGUCAUUCAUUAUUUUGUCAUCCAUAAAUUAUCUAACUGGAGUACUUGCUGUUAAGUUUCUUAUUUUCAUUUGUGAUAGUUUUAUUAGGUAGGUUAAAGAAUUCUCAACAAAGUUACUUUGUGGAGUUUCAUUCAGAUUUUAAGGGGUGGGUGGGAAAAUAAAAGCUUUGAUACAAUAAUUUAGAAUGAGCAAGAAGAUUCAAUUUAAAGUUGUAUUGCCAGUAAUGCUUACUUGGGGCCUUCAAUGCACCAUUCAUUGCCAAAACGUAAAAGUAGUAAAUUUCAAUAUUUUACAUUUGUUUAGGGUUCCUGUAAUUAAAAUUGUUAAAAAUCACUUUUUAUUAUUCAAUAAAUGAAAUAUAAUUAUGACCUCUUGAUUACUGUAUACUAUAACAAGAUAUAAUCAUAUUGUUUCUUGAGAUCAGGAUAUUGUGUAUCCUGUUUUUGAAGUAAAGCUUUGAAGGCUCAUAAGUUUCUUCCUCUGUCAAAUAUAUUUUACUGUAUUCUGAAAUCAAAUUCAUUAGACCACGUGUACCAAGCUGGUACACAUCAGUUAUAACUCUUAACACAUCAGCUAUAUAUGCCUUAUAAAGAGCUAAGGGAGCAUAAGACUCCAUAUUUUGAAGGAAAAUCCCCUUAAAAUUUUCAAGCUUCAGGAAAUUUUCCCCAGGAAAUUUGAUCCUGUUAACAAAAAAAAAUCUGGUAUUAUACUGUCUUGUGCCAAGAGAACUGCUACAGAUUCAUGUCAAACUUGUAAAACUAACUAAUGAUAUGUGAAUGUGAAUAUGUGCUUUUUGAAAAGAACAUAUUCACUUCACUCUUGCAGUUACUUAACCACUGCACUGCUCUGCAUUAAAAUAUGACAUACGCGUGGUGUGCCGAAAAUAAAUUCUUUCCAAAAAAUGUUUUCUUAUAUUGUUAAGAGGCACUCUCUUAUCACGGGAAACUAAAAAAAAAUUGUAUGUGUCAUACUCUAACCGUGAUGGAGCUGGGAAGUACAGACAAUUAUGGGCGCUGAGUGAUGGAACACUCGAGAUCACUCGACCCCACCACCCCGUGGGGCAGCAGUUGCUGCAAAUAUAAUGUUUCUCAUUUGUUUCUUCUGUUUUUUUUAUGUUUUUUUUUUUUGUUUUUUUGUGAAUAUAUUAUUCAAAAGUGUGUAAUUUGUGGAAUUUGUAUAGUUCAAUGUGUGGAACAUUGCUAUGCUCAAAAUUAUGGGACACUAAUAUAUGACAUGUAUAUUAUAAUCUACAAUCAAUCAAACCGUGUUUUUGCUGUUAUUACACUAUAUACACCCAUUGAAUAUGCCUCUCUACAUGUGUGUUCACCAUAGCGAACCACUAAGCUGGUAUGGUGAUUCUAGACAAUAACAUGUUGCCAUACACCAGCAAGCAGACGACACUACCUCGACCCUCCCUCCCUCACCAACAUUACUCCUCCCAUCAUACUAUGCACGUCGCUAAUUCUCACUACAAUCCUGCUGUUAUCAGAAUCCUGGUCACUAAAAUCAUGUAAUGAAUAAUUUUCCACAUGUUUAUUUUGUAAAGAAACGUGAGAAGUCAUUUGAAGAAUUUUAGAUGGGCGUAAUAAUGGCAGUGUGCUGUGGCUAGCACUAUGAACAUCUUGAACAGCAUUUAUUCACUGAUAUCUGAACAUUGUACACAGUUUUUAUCAGUCAAGCUCUUCUGUAAUACUAUCAUGGCUAAAUAAUACCAGAUGCAUAUAUAUUUGGACAUUUUUAGGCGAUGCUGUUAGCUCAUGCUGUGUGCGCCAGCCUUGGUUGCUCACUCGGUACUGAGGCCUUCACACUCGGGAAUGCCCACGAUUAUUUUUAUAAAUGGCGUCUGUUUAGGAGAGCCCUGAGGAAGCUGAUGUGAACCCCGUGUAGCCGCAGGAGUUUUGAAUGAUACGCUAUACCGUGAGAACCCUGAGGCGCGUUGCACACUACCUGUCGAGAGCCUCAAGGCAUGUUGUGCAGUGCAGUGCUUAAGACAAAUGCUCCGUUGCUGACCGAGUUUUGUUCUAUGUACACCAUUGCUUGCCUGGCUUGUCACUGUUGAACUUUUUGAGUAUGUUUCAUUAUUGUAUGAAAAGUUAUUAAAGUUUUAUAUUGGUUGGAAAUAGAGGUAAACCUUUUAUUGGGAAUGUCUUAAAAUGUUGUGACUAUAGCAAAGGAAUAUUUUUGUCUCAUAGAUAUAAUCUGCCAGAAUUGCAUAAUGGUGAGGUUUUAUAGCAAUAUUUGAUGCUUUUUAAUGAAGUAAAAUAUGAUUAUGAAUAUAAUUUGGAUUGUUUGUUACAAAACCAGAUUUUAUUCCUAUAAACUUUCUACCUCCAACAUUUGUUUUUCACUCUUUACAAAAAGAGAGUUCACAUUUUGUUUAAUUCUUAAUGUGAGCCCUUUUUUUUGUGCCCUUCAUUUAAAGAUUGAAGUGUACCAGUCUACAGUUCAUAUACAUAAUACACACAUGCACAGUAGUGAUUUAUAACAAUGAUAUUACUGUUCACUUAUCUGCAGUGUCAUCUGUGCUCCAUUUCUAAAUAAGUUCAAGCACAUGGAUUAAGCCUCACACAAAACUUUAAAAAGUCCAAGACUCAUGUUAGAGAAACAAAUCAAGACACCGAUGCUUCAAAAUUUAUUCUCGUCAAAUUCAUCAUUUUCAUUAAAUUUACAUAGCAUUAGAGUUGCACUUUACAGUAAUCUUACAAAGAAGGUAAAGAAUAACUCCACAAAGAAACAUUAGGGGGAAUAUUUUUAUUGGUAUAUUAAAUGUACAAGUAGUAUUUGUAAACUAUUUAGCUGCACAAAGAGCUUAACAUUGUAGAUAAUUAACUUUGGCCUAUUGUUUGUGUUAGGUACCAAUAUUUUCCAUUUUCCUUUGUACUGUACUAGCUCAGGAAAAUAUAAGAAUGUUAAGAGCAGAAAAUGGGCAUAUGAAAGUGGCUACAGACA
rnacentral:misc_RNA from 1 species